rnacentral:misc_RNA from 1 species
GGGAGAAACAGAGUAACGACACUGUCGUUUGUAGUUCAUUGUUUGUUGGAGGGAGGUGGACUACACCACCAGCCCAGAUCAACUCCCUGAUUGCCAGCGAGUCAGAACUCGGAAGACCGGCGCUAGAACCCCAGCCGUUGAUCACCACGCGCUGUCACUUUCUCUCUAGCGUAGCCACACACGCCGGCGCAUGUCGCGUUUUCCCAGCACCCCUCUUGCUGGAUCUUGCACCGGCAGACUCGCCUGAGGAAGAAGGCGCCUCAUCCCAGCCUUGCACCUUUUCCAAUUUUUUUUCUUUUCUUCUAGGCUUCUCCCAAUUGUAGUUGCGAGUACUGUUCAUUCAAUCAAUAAGAGCAGCCUUGGUGUGGAUAAUUGAUAUUCAGACCUGUUCUAAGGUUUUAUUCUUCUCUAGUGAGAUCUCUAGUAAUAUUCAACAUGACUGAAAUGGGAAAUUCGUCCAAUUCAGGUGACUAUAAGCCAAUUUUCUCUUCUUUUUCUAAUUCUCCAACAAUUACUACUGUUAAAUACAAGAUAGCAACAACUAUAUGUCAUGGUC